AAUGUUCAGCAUUCUCAACACAUACAAUACACAACAGCAACACAACAUGUUCUUCAGUUAUAUUAUGUCUCUAGGUUAUAAAUUGUUUUAGACUGAACAAAGCUGUUUGUGUCACACUGGGAUCAAAGAUGAUUGACAUGACUUUAUUAAAUCAAGUUUUAAAA